rnacentral:rRNA from 1 species
GAUCAUGGCUACAGGACGAACGCUGGCGGCGUGCCUAACACAUGCAAGUCGAACGAGGUCCAUCCUUCGGGAGAAGACCUAGUGGCGAACGGGUGAGUAACACGUGAAGAACCUGCCCCGAAGACCGGGAUAACCCUCCGAAAGGAGAGCUAAUACCGGAUACCCCCACCGAACCGCAUGGUUUGGUGAGGAAAUGGAUUCCGCUUCGGGAGGGCUUCGCGGCCUAUCAGCUAGUUGGUGGGGUAACGGCCCACCAAGGCAUCGACGGGUAGCUGGUCUGAGAGGACGAUCAGCCACACUGGGACUGAGACACGGCCCAGACUCCUACGGGAGGCAGCAGUGGGGAAUCUUGCGCAAUGGGCGAAAGCCUGACGCAGCAACGCCGCGUGGGGAUGAAGGCUCUCGGGUUGUAAACCCCUUUCAGCAGGGACGAAUCAAGACGGUACCUGCAGAAGAAGCCCCGGCUAACUACGUG